rfam:Jatropha curcas cultivar GZQX0401 scaffold60_54, whole genome shotgun sequence.
AAGCUGUGAUGUGGGCACUUUCUCAAUAAGUCCCUGAAUCUCUCCCAAGCUUCAAACAAACUCUUUUGAUCAUGGUGGAGAAAGGUCAUUAUCUCAUUCCGCAGUUU